rnacentral:rRNA from 1 species
GAUGAACGCUGGCGGCGUGCCUAAUACAUGCAAGUCGAGCGAACAGAUGAGGAGCUUGCUCCUCUGACGUUAGCGGCGGACGGGUGAGUAACACGUGGAUAACCUACCUAUAAGACUGGGAUAACUUCGGGAAACCGGAGCUAAUACCGGAUAAUAUAUUGAACCGCAUUGUUCAAUAGUGAAAGACGGUUUUGCUGUCACUUAUAGAUGGAUCCGCGCCGCAUUAGCUAGUUGGUAAGGUAACGGCUUACCAAGGCAACGAUGCGUAGCCGACCUGAGAGGGUGAUCGGCCACACUGGAACUGAGACACGGUCCAGACUACUACGGGAGGCAGCAGUAGGGAAUCUUCCGCAAUGGGCGAAAGCCUGACGGAGCAACGCCGCGUGAGUGAUGAAGGUCUUCGGAUCGUAAAACUCUGUUAUUAGGGAAGAACAAAUGUGUAAGUAACUAUGCACGUCUUGACGGUACCUAAUCAGAAAGCCACGGCUAACUACGUG